CAGCCGCCGCGGUAAAACAGAGGGUGCGAGCGUUAAUCGGAUUUACUGGGCGUAAAGCGUGCGUAGGCGGCUUCUUAAGUCGGAUGUGAAAUCCCUGAGCUUAACUUAGGAAUUGCAUUCGAUACUGGGAAGCUAGAGUAUGGGAGAGGAUGGUAGAAUUCCAGGUGUAGCGGUUAAAUGCGUAGAGAUCUGGAGGAAUACCGAUGGCGAAGGCAGCCAUCUGGCCUAAUACUGACGCUGAGGUACGAAAGCAUGGGGAGCAAACAGGAUUAGAUACCCCUGUAGUCCCUGUCUCUUAUAC
rnacentral:rRNA from 1 species